UUGAAAGUUCCGUACCUUUCUGCCCAUGUAGAUCGGUAUGCCCACAAUGAUGACUGGGAUGGCGAUGCCCGCUAUGAGGGAGAUGACCACCGGUGCUCCGAGCAACAUGCCCACCUGCCACAGAACCUUGCGGUUCUAAAAUGGACCUCGGCCAGAAGAGGGCUACGUGUUCCGGGCACUGGAGAUCUGGAGACACACAGGUCAGCAGUGACUCCCUCCAAGAGGAGCUCAGACUUAAGGUUGCAAUUGGUGCAGCCUUAAAACAUAACGUAUGAGCUUGACCUGACAGGUAUUUAUCUCUGGCUUAAUACCUAUAGAUGAAAUAGUGGCUAUAUUAAUUUAAUGAUUGUAGCGAUGAAGUAUUUUCGUUCUUUAAGAUAAAUGACACCGGCCAAAGUUGCACUUGUGCCAAAGAUUUUCAUCCACUUCAUGCUGUUGAGAAGGAUCAAAUUCUGCUGCUCUUUCUCAUGGAUUUUGGUGCAGUGCUUCUACUAAAUAGGUCAUGAAGAUAGUUCACUAUGGAACAUUAUCAUUUACAUUAUAAAUUAGUCUUUGUUAACUUUGUUUUAUUUUUAAAAUCCUUGGGUCUUAAAUCGCCAAUAGUCCAAAACAUCAGAGUUAAAUUACAGCUUGAGAGUUUGAUAUGUGCAUUUGUUUGUGCGUGUUUCUUGUGUAUUCAUGAGCCGACUGCGAAGAGGACACCUGAGGUAGUGCACGUCGGUGAUCUCCUGCAUACACAGCCAGCAGAACUGACAGGCACACACAGUGCAGUUCAUACGGUUACAGCUGCCGUCAUUGGUCUUCAUGAUGUAGGCACCACAGCGAGGGCACGGUUUGAUCUCCUCCGCAUCUGAAGCGACAAGAGUGCACACGGAACAGUUGGACCGAGCCGACCUCGCCGAUUCCCUGGUUACAAGACAUGUGAGACUGGGACAGAGCUGCCGGUCGUACCUCCUCCAGGUUCUUCAUUGAAGACGUACAGCGUGGAGGCAUCGUUGCCACCUGAGGUGUGGCGGGCUCGCUGCCGCCGGGCCUGGUCGCACGUCUGGUUGGGAUGCCACAGCU